GCCUGCCAGCAUGCAAACAGGAACCCCAAGAAAAGCCACAAUUGUCAGAGCUGCCUUCAAGCUUUUCACUUGUCAGGAAGCAACAAGAUGCCUGCAAGCCACCUGCUUUAUUUACCAGGUUGGCAUUGCGAUCUGAGCAAGCGCUCAUUUGAAGACUGAGCAAAUGUAAAUCCAUCCUUUUUAUGGGACUUGCAUUCAGAGAUUCCUUCAGGUAAAGUUGUGACUCUUCUUCACAUCAUCAAGCUCAACCAAGCAGAUGCAUCACACAUGUACCCAAAACACACAUGACGGCUAUAUUAUAAAUGUACCAGAAGAAUGAAUUUUACCUGUGAUAAUGUGAGGAAGACUACAACAAAGAAAAAGAAGUUGCAGUUGCCCCAUGCAAAACAUCAAAAGGACAAAUUUAUCUAGAAAAGGCAGGACUGAAAAGAAAAACGUGGCCAGAUACUUUUUGUUCUGAUACUCCACUUGAAAAGAAUCUAUGAAAAGAAGCAAGACCCUGGGAAAUGGUCCUAGGAAAUGCGACUGUUUAGGACCAAGCUCUUUCCUGACCAUCAGAACUAGCCCAUCUUCAUUAGCCAUAAGCCAGUUUGGGGGAAGAAAUGCCUGACAUUUCUUUGUGGACUGCUUCAGUCAAUGUGCUGUUCCGACUCCAGACAGUCGUGUGACUGCCAACGCAUUUGCUAAACUGAACAGGGCUCAACGCCCACACAACUGACUUUUCCAAACAGAUCGAAGGAAACACAGAUGGAAAGACUGUAUAUUCACUGAAUUGUACUUUACUGAUGUUAUUAAA